rnacentral:lncRNA from 1 species
GAACUGCACAAGACUUGCUGACAUGACUGAAAGACUAAACACUCUGGAAGCCAAGGGGCACCUGGACAGAUCGGGCCUCCAGGUCCAGUUGGACCAGCUGGACUUCCAGGACCACCAGGACCAAAGGGAGAAAGGGGACUGCCUGGUGAGAAGGGGCCCACAGGACCACCAGGGCUCCUGGGGCCUCAAGGGCCUAGAGGACUUCCAGGAGAAAUAG